GUGAAAUGGAACAGAUAACAAUAAGUCAUUUCACCAUCGAAAUUUUCAGCAUGGUCAGAAUUAUCUAUUUCGUUUAUGCAGUCCUCCUGGUCGGACUACUGCAGAGUCGUUUUGCAAGAAGUGAAAUUUUGAAUGGAAAUGCUGAAAAUGCUGGUGAUGCUUUGUCUCUAAAAAAACGAAGUGAAAUUUUGUAUGAAAAUAAUUUGUCUAAGGCUGGAGUUGCUGGAGGUGCUGCUGAUGAUUUAUCUCUCGAAAAACGUUCUCCACAACGACCUAAGAAGGGAAAGGCAUAUAAAGGGCAAGGAAAUAAGGAGUAUGGAAAAUAAUGAUUGUGGCAAAACGGAUUCAUAAGCCUUCUGAAACAUAAUUUAGUUUUCUGAAAAUCUUUAAAAGAAUAUUUCAACACCGAAGGACUGAAGCCUCUAUCCAGCAUAUGUUUUAAAUAAACUAUGAAAGCACA
rnacentral:lncRNA from 1 species